UUUGGUGGUGUCAUCUAAAGCUGGUGUCAACUAAAGCUGGUGUCGAAAGUUCAAGUGCUACCCGUUUGGUUUUGUCAGUUUUGGCUUUAGCAUUGUCUUGCCUCAUCAAAAACUUGUAAUUACGGAUGCAGUAAAAACGUUUACUUGUAUGAUAAAAGACACUAGUUUUUAUUAAAGGACGAUAUAAAUAUGUGCAUUCCAA